rnacentral:rRNA from 1 species
UACGGAGGGUGCAAGCGUUGUCCGGAAUCACUGGGCGUAAAGGGUGCGUAGGCGGUUGGUAAGUCUGAUGUGAAAUCUAUGGGCUCAACUCAUAGUCUGCAUCGGAAACUGCCGGGCUUGAGUGUGGGAGAGGUGAGUGGAAUUCCUGGUGUAGCGGUGAAAUGCGUAGAUAUCAGGAAGAACACCCGUGGCGAAGGCGGCUCUCUGGGACGGUACUGACGCUGAGACGCGAAAGCGUGGGGAGCGAACAGG